CCUACGGGAGGCAGCAGUGGGGAAUAUUGGACAAUGGGCGAAAGCCUGAUCCAGCAAUACCGCGUGUGUGAAGAAGGCCUGAGGGUUGUAAAGCACUUUCAAUGGGAAGGAAUACCUGGUAGCUAAUACCUAUCAGACUGACAUUACCCACACAAGAAGCACCGGCUAACUCCGUGCCAGCAGCCGCGGUAAU
rnacentral:rRNA from 1 species